rnacentral:ncRNA from 2 species
AAUUUUUGUGGGGGCAAUGAUUUUUGGGCUGAUUUGGACGCUUUGCCUGGAAUGAGCCGGUAGCGUAACCGACCACUUGUGGU